rfam:Chloroflexi bacterium GWB2_49_20 gwb2_scaffold_276, whole genome shotgun sequence.
GGGCCUGUAGCUCAGCUGGUUAGAGCACAGUCCUGAUAAGACUGGGGUCACUGGUUCGAGUCCAGUCAGGCCCA